rnacentral:tRNA from 1 species
UAGCUUAGUUGGUAGUGCGUCUGCCUUGUAAGCGCUAAGCCGCGGGUUCGAUUCCCGC